GAUGAAGAACGUAGCGAAAUGCGAUAAGUAGUUUGAAUUGCAGAAUUCAGUGAAUCAUCGAAUCUUUGAACGCACAUUGCGCCCCUUGGUAUUCCAUGGGGCAUGCCUGUUCGAGCGUCAUUUGUACCUUCAAGCUCUGCUUGGUGUUGGGUGUUUGUCUCGCCUCUGCGUGUAGACUCGCCUCAAAACAAUUGGCAGCCGGCGUAUUGAUUUCGGAGCGCAGUACAUCUCGCGCUUUGCACUCAUAACGACGACGUCCAAAAGUACAUUUUUACACUCUUGACCUCGGAUCAGGUAGGGAUACCCGCUGAACUUAAGCAUAUCAAUAAGCGGAGGA
rnacentral:misc_RNA from 1 species